AAUUUCUUAGAUAUUUUUGACUAACAUCAUAAGAUUCCAUAUAACUUCUAUAUCAUAUGAGAAAACUUUUCCCAUGUUGAAAUAGUUCUUUUAAAUAUGGACUUAUAUUAGUGCGUUGUAGUUAGGACGAAUAUGCCAAAGUCUCUUAGUGGGAGCAAAUAAAAAUCCAAAAAGCCACUCCCAAAAAAAAAAAAAAAUUAAUAAUAAAAACGUCAAUUUGCAUGCCUUCUUCGUUGCCUUGCCUAGCGACUUUUAAUUUUCCCGUUACAUUGAGUCUUUUUAACAUUCAAAUGACAUGGCGUAAUGAGAGCCCUUUGAUCCGACACUCUCGA
rnacentral:lncRNA from 1 species